CAACAGCGUAUAUUAAAGUUGUUGCAGUUAAAACGCUCGUAGUCGGAUUUCGGGGCGGGCGGGCCGGUCUGCCGAUGGGUAUGCACUGGUCUGGCCGUCCUUCCUUCCGGAGACCGUGCGUGCUCUUAACUGAGUGCGCUCGGGAGACGGAUCGUUUACUUUGAAAAAUCAGAGUGUUUCAAGCAGGCAGCUCGCUCUUGCAUGGAUUAGCAUGGGAUAAUGAAAUAGGACUUUGGUGCUAUUUUGUUGGUUUCGAACACCGAAGUAAUGAUUAACAGGGACAGUCAGGGGCACUCGUAUUCCGCCGAGAGAGGUGAAAUUCUCAGACCAGCGGAAGACGAACCACUGCGAAAGCAUUUGCCAGGGAUGUUUUCACUGAUCAAGAACGAAAGUUAGGGGAUCGAAGACGAUUAGAUACCAU
rnacentral:rRNA from 1 species